CUCCACCUCUUUUGUCCCAGUUUUGCUGCGUGGAGAGGAUGGAGAGACUGAAUCUUGACUAAUGAGUCUCGGGGAACUUGGUUAGGAGCUCUGUGAACGUACGGCUACGGGGACAAUGAUCGAGGUUUAGGUCUGAGUUCGGUGGUUUUUUG